AUAUCAAUAAGCGGAGGAAAAGAAACCAACAGGGAUUGCCUCAGUAACGGCGAGUGAAGCGGCAACAGCUCAAAUUUGAAAUCUGGCUCUUUUAGGGCCCGAGUUGUAAUUUGUAGAGGAUGCUUCGGCGUCGGCUCCGGUCUAAGUUCCUUGGAACAGGACGUCAUAGAGGGUGAGAAUCCCGUAUGUGAUCGGUUGCCUUUGCCAUGUGAAGCUCCUUCGACGAGUCGAGUUGUUUGGGAAUGCAGCUCUAAAUGGGAGGUAAAUUUCUUCUAAAGCUAAAUACCGGCCAGAGACCGAUAGCGCACAAGUAGAGUGAUCGAAAGAUGAAAAGCACUUUGGAAAGAGAGUCAAAAAGUAC
rnacentral:rRNA from 1 species